ACAAGUCAAUGUAAGGAAUUUAGAAGAAUCCUUCAGGUCAACUGGUUUUAUAUCAAACUAAAGCGUGGAAAAAUGAGCACCAGCUUUUCCAAGUUGUUUGGGGUACGGGACAAGUGCACUGUGGCUUCUUAUGGGUCUUCUGAAGGUUUCUUUGGCGCAGGAACAAGGUUAACAGUUCUUGAACCUAACCUGAAAAUCACGCCACCGAAAGUGACCUUGCUCAAACCUUCUCCACACGAGUGCACCAACCAGAAGAACGCCACGGAGAAGAAGAAGACUUUAGUGUGCGUGGCCACGGGCUUCUAUCCGGACCACGUCAGCGUGGUGUGGAAGGUCGACAAUGACGAGGUGAGCGGGGGUGUGGCCACAGACGCCCAGGCCCUGCGGAGCGGGGACCACUACAGCAUCACCAGCAGGUUGAGGGUCCCAGCCAGACGGUGGUUCCACCCCAACAGAAACUUCACGUGCGUGGUCAAGUUUUUCAACGGGAACGAAAGAGUCGACUAUCAGACGUCCAUCAACGGAGAAGGCUGGAGUCAGGAAGGCGCCGUGACACGAGAAAACUUCCUGAAGAUCUCGCAGACCGCCAAACUCUCCUACGGCGUCCUCAUCGCCAAGAGCUGCGUCUACGGCGCCUUCGUCGUCUUGCUGAUCUGGAAGCUUCGGGUCCCCUCGGGAAAAAGCGACUAACGAAGGGGCCGUCUUGCUGUUGGAUUGCGCUGUUGUUGCUGUUGUGUAACUUGUUGGGGGUUUUUUUGCACGUUUGCUCAAUAAAAGUCCGUGGUCGUGGUUUCGUUCAUCUUGAACAUGCACACAAAGCACAUCAUAUAACACAAUCCACACUUCAUGUCCAACAGUAGGAAGAAGCAAAGCUUAUUAAUCCGACCCCUCAUCCGUUUCAUAUCAGUUGCAAUGCAUUUGUUCACCUCCUGUAUUCCAGUGUGCCUAUAGUAAGUAUCUCGGAACGUGAUAAGGCAAUAUAGCCAUAUAGUGCAAUUGUAGUCAAGGUUUAUACCUACUGUAAAGAACUAUACAACAGACUUAAUGGUAGUAAUAAAUGGAUAAUAGAUCAUGGAUAAUAGAUGAUCAUAACAACUAUGUGCUUUGGUUUGCUUCAACAGAAACGCCACUGGAAUGCCAUUGAUAAUGUUGCAUGUUGGGGAAGUAUUUAAGAGUACUGCAGCAAGCCUUGUGCUGCUGCAAUGGAACUGUUUUACACGCCGCUGGCUGUGUAAAUGUUUUCUUUUGACGUCCUCGUCGUGCAGUAUCGCUGCGCGAAUCUUAACGAUGAUUUUUCUAACUCAACUUCAUUUGCCGGAGGAACACACAUUAGAACAGGGGUGUCAAACUCGUGCCAUGGAGGGCC